UUACAGGUUUGGAACGACAUGGGGGUAAGUGAUUAAUUGCUAAAUUUUCCUUUUAGGGUGGAGUAUCCCUUUAAGUCAGCCCUGCAAGAAACAAGGAAGGAGGAAUGAAACUGCAGUUAUUUGGGAAGAUUUAUAUGGCUUGCAGUAAAAUUCCAAACCUGCUAUGUCAUAAUUCCAGUGAUUUCUGUUUUUCCCCCUAAUUAUUUAUAGUUUCAAAAUUAGCAUCAACAGUGAAAUCUUUCAGUGUUUUCACACUUAUGCGUCACGAGAACAUUUUGGUGCUGACCACCUACGGUAUCAGUCAUUUGUCUGUAUCUUAAAAAGUAAGACACUUCAAGCUUCACAGUAUAUGUUAAAAUUAUUACGAAACAUCCAGUUCACAAAACCCUUCAGAAUGUUUCAAUUACAAAUUAGUAUUUAGUCUGACUACGUAGUUAUUUAUUUAGCUCUUCUACAUUAAAUUAGUUGAGUCAUAAUUAGUUGUCAACUAAUAAAACUAGUAAAGCUUAUAAAAACACACCUCAGGUCAAACAAUGAACCAAGAGAGGCUGUCAGGCAUCUGCACUGGCACUAAUUGUAAUUGAACAGAACAUAUGAAAGGUCUUUGGAGCUGGAGGACAUAGUGAAAGCAUUUGCUGUAGCUAAGGCUCGUAAGCACCAUUUUAAGCUGACAAUCCAUUACUGUAAAUAUGAACAUUGUACUGUAUCUUCAAGAUUGUCUUGUGCAGUUUUGUAUCUUCUGCCAUAAAGAUGAAGAUUGAUAUUUUGUUAAAGAAUAAGCACUUUGUUUUUAAAAAUAAACAAUUUAUGUUCUAUAAUAUGUGUUUUAACAACUUUUUGUGUGUUGUAUAAAUAUAGACCUUGGUAAUGAAGAUAUAUUAACAAAAUGAUCUUUUAGAAGGGCCUCAUUUAUUAAUUUUGCCGGGGGUCCCCCCUUCAUCUUGGUUCGCAUUAGAGCAAACUAAUGGAUUAAUAGAAUUUGAAUUUUCAUAUCAAUAUAUUUUUGAAAAGUGCAAUUAUUUGAAAGGUAAUGACUUCUUGCAGUCUUCUUGCAAUUAAAAAAUCUUUAAUUCUCUCACUGUUUAUUGCUAUUCUUGUUGGUGUUAAAAGCUAUUUGUUUUGCAGCAAUGCGACAGCUAUUUUACAUAAUUUCAUAAUUUUAUGAUAAAAACAUAGUAGGCUACCAGUUAUAGGCAUUAAUUAUGGGCAUGAUGUCAGACAAAAUUCUGCUAACAGUUUAUAUAUAUAUUUUUUUCUUUUUUUCUUUUUUGAUGUUUUUAUGUUUCCAUGACUUAUUAAUAGGCUUACAUGAACACUCUGAGGAGGUUUUAUUAAUUUGUUUCCUUUCGUUUUAUCUAUUAUUAGGCUAUACUUUUUCCCCGAAGUAGGCUAUAUAUAUACGUAUCAUAGUAAUGUUACCGCCCACGGCUCGCUUCCUGUAAAUCACGUGACACCUAAAGGAAUAAAAAGUGUCGUUUUAAGCUGCUGUUAUGUUCUCACUUUCAAAAACAUUAUAAUAGACCUAGCAAGACAGUUUGAUAGAGACACAACAAAGGUUGUUUAUUCUUAUACAGAAUCUUCUACAAAGGUAGAAGAUUCUGUAUAAGCUUCUAUUCCCAUGUAAGACCGUAUCUGUCCUGACAUGCCUAAAUUAUGAGGAAGUGAGAGAUCAUCUACAUUCUCAUUCUUCUUGUCGAGACACUCAAUGAUUAACUCUUCCUGUUAUUUUAUAUUUCAGGUUUCAAUACAGUCCCAAGCCUUUAGUGUGGUGGAUGACUUGAGUUUAGGAGAAUGUAAAGUUUUUAUUUUCAGAUAAUCUGAAGAUCUGAAGUGUUUGAGGUCAAAAUACAGCAACAACAUAGGCAAGGUAAUAGAAGGUCUGAACAACAGAAGAUAUCAAGAUCAGAACCUGACAGAAGCUCAGAAAGAUUUUCAGUGGUUUAUUCAUGUUUUGCAGUCCCUUCCAAAGUGUGUCUAGAAGAAUGCUCUAGAAUUGAGCUGUUGAAUCUCUACAGACAGUGGAAGAAAGGGCAGCUGAUCAGCAUGCUUCCUAUUGUGGAUUUUUAUUAUGAAGACACUACUUGAGGAAAAAGUAUCAUACUGAGUUCAUGUUUCUGUUUUCUUUGUUUGCUUGUUUUUUAUUACUCAGCCAUUAUAGUCAGCCACUUGUUUAAAACUGUAGCCCUGUUAUGCUUUUCUGAUUCGGUUUGGAACUGAGGCUUCAACAUAGAUCAGAACCAAUGGAAAAAGGUGGAAGUUUUUUUUUUACACGUGUUAUAUUGACCUUAGAAUAUGUGGGUGGCCUUUUUUGUGUAAACAGGAAGUUGUGUGUUUAUGAGAAAAGGGAAACUGAUAUGACAACUUUAUGAUAUGCCUUCAUAUAGAAAGAGAAACAAACUGGCAAGGCAAGGGAAUCUUUUGACAAAAGCACUAUUCCAGAUGAUCUUGUUAUGUAUGCUUCUUGUAAAAUUCCAAGCCUUGUCUCCUAUAACUUUAAUUGUAAUGACACACAUUCUCUGUCUCUCCAUUUUUAGGUUCAGAUAUCUUCUAAAGGACUUGAUUAUAAAAUUCUUACUUUGGCGUCACCAUACAACCAGUGUGAUCAAACUCUGAAUGACAGCUUUCAGGACAGCAGAGAAAACGAGACAUUCACUUACCAGGAGUAAAAGUUACUGGAGACAUUUACCAAAAGACUCAAAUCACCAAUGUGACACUUUGUUCAUCAAGAUCACAGAAGUGUUGCAUUGCCGCCGCAGCUCUACACCCACAGUAAUGCUGAAUUUAGGCAUCAGUUAAGUCUUCCUGAGUUUAAAGGUAGUUCAGCAAAUUAGACUGGUUUAAGUCAAAUAGAUAAAAGAAAAAUCUUUUCAUAGCAGAAAAAGUGAAAAUAUUUUGACACAUGACUUUUUGUUUUAUGUCUUUUUUGUCUUCCCAGAUUGGCCUAGUUGUUUACUUUCUGUUUCGUUUUUGGGAUUGUAGUUGUUUGUUUCAGGGUGUAUGUGACUUUACAAUGGAAUUUGAACUGAAUAAACUUUCAAAAUGAAAACAAAAAUAUGAAUUUAAUGAAAUUAAUUAGAAAUUAGAAGAAAGUAGUAAAACCUUAGUAAAAUCAAGUUAUGUAUUUGACCACUAGAGGUCAUAAAAGAUUCAUUUCAGUCCAGUGUUACUCUGUGAAGUGUGAAGUGAAUUGUAUUUUUUAAAUCAUUUUGUUUAUGUCAGAUAGAGGUUUGUUAAUAUCAAAGGUUAGGUUAAAUGCUUUAUCCUGCACAACAGACAAACACAAGGUUAUUUUGGGUUCAGUCAUUGUAGCACCUUUAUUUGGAAACCUCAACUUGACACACAAACUAGUAAAAUAUCAUUGAUGAAGAGGUUUUACACACAGCAUAAUAUUAUUGCUAUAUGUUUUUUUUUUAAUGAUACAGUCCUAUAUAUUGAGCCCUAACUAAAUUAGUAGCAAUUCAGAUGAAAGUUAAAAAAAAUUAAAAAUAAAAAAAGGAUGUGAAUGUUAGACACAUAUUGGUAGAAAAUUUAUAAACAGUAACACAAUUAUUUCUAUGGUCCAGGAUCAAUAAAAGGCAAAUGUAUAGAUUAACAUAAACAUUCAAUGGAGAAGACAAAUAAAGCAUAAAUGUAGAAUGUGAAAACUUGCAUGGGAUUGAUAAUAAAUGGUGUGAAUAAAGAACCUAUUUAAAAUCAA